GAAAUGCGAUAAGUAGUGUGAAUUGCAGAAUUCAGUGAAUCAUCGAAUCUUUGAACGCACAUUGCGCCCUUUGGCAUUCCGAAGGGCAUACCUGUUCGAGCGUCAGUUGCACAACUCAAGCACAGCUUGGUGAUGGGCGACGCGGUCCGCCGCGCGCCUCAAAUCGACCGGCUGGGUCUUUCGUCCCCUCAGCGUUGUGGAAACUAUUCGCUAAAGGGUGCCGCGGGAGGCCACGCCGUAAAACAACCCCAUUUCUAAGGUUGACCUCGGAUCAGGUAGGGAUACCCGCUGAACUUAAGC
rnacentral:misc_RNA from 1 species